AAGGAUGUAGCUCAGUGGUAGAGCAUGUUCUUGCCAUGCACGAGGUCCUGGGUUCAUUCCCCAGUACCUCUG
rnacentral:tRNA from 1 species